UGCCGGGGUGGCGGAAACGGCAGACGCGCCAGACUUAAAAUCUGGUGGGUUGAAAGCCCGUGCGGGUUCGAGUCCCGCCCCCGGCAU
rnacentral:tRNA from 1 species